AGUCGUAACAAGGUUUCCGUAGGUGAACCUGCGGAAGGAUCAUUGUCGAUGCCUUACAUGCAGUCCAACACGUGAAUCAGUUUGAAUACAUAUGGUUGGCUUGAGGUGUUCUACACCUCGGCUUACCUCUUGGUUCAGAGGAAGACGACGAAGUGCGUCCUCCUUUGUGCCAAAACUCAAACCCCGACGCUGAAUGCGUCAAGGAAUUUAAAUUUUGCUCUGAGCACACCUGCAUGGCACCGGAGACGGUUUUCGUGCGUGUUGUGUUUUGACACAUGAUAUAGAAUGACUCUCGGCAACGGAUAUCUAGGCUCUU
rnacentral:misc_RNA from 1 species